UACAGAGGUCUCAAGCGUUGUUCGGAUUCAUUGGGCGUAAAGGGCGCGUAGGCGGUCGCGCACGUCCGUUGUGAAAUCGCUCGGCUCAACUGGGCGGGGUCAGCGGAUACGGCGUGGCUGGAGCAAGCUAGGGGGCAAUGGAAUUCCCGGUGUAGUGGUGGAAUGCGUAGAUAUCGGGAGGAACACCAGUGGCGAAGGCGGUUGCCUGGAGCUUUGCUGACGCUGAUGCGCGAAAGCGUGGGGAGCGAUCCGG
rnacentral:rRNA from 1 species